ensembl:miRNA tgu-mir-2970 tgu-mir-2970
AGCAUGUCCCUCUGGCCAGGCAGGGGUUCUGGGCAGCUCCUGCCCUGCGGACAGUCAGCAGUUGGUCUGGUGUGAGCAGCAAUUCUCAGAUCACCUCUUGGCUGUGGGUGGUGCAGGGAGCACCCCACCAUGGCAUGGCUGGGGGACAUGUU